AUUCCUUCCCAGGUGUGAUAAUUUAUGAGAAUGACCUGCAUAACUGAGGAAAGCUCUGUACUGAUGACCGCUGUUUUAUUAUGGAGAGCACAAAUGAACAGCCAGGGUAGUGAUAUGUAGCUGUAGCACUGUGCGUUCUCUCAAUGCUGAGCUGCAGCUCCCAGUCAACCACUGGAUCAUGAGGGUAAAAUACUGAUACUUGACAUCUUCUUAAAGAACAUCAUGCCUGCUAAACCAUCCAGUGUGGAUGCCCCAGUGCCUUCCAUGAGCCAUUCUCAAGCCUCAUUAGAAAAGAGAGAUUGGCAACCCUGUAGCUGCAGUAUCCCAUCAUCCUGCAUCUUAGUUCAAUGCUUCAAACAUUCUUCAGGCCAAGUGUGCUUUCAGCUGUGUAUGUUAAUGGUCCCACUUCCAAUGCUGGGAGUCACAUUUCAACAUGAGAUUUGGACAGGACAGACGAUCCAAACCAUCUCGAAGUCCCAUGGUGAAUGGAGGAGCAUCUGAACUGAGACUUGCUAUGGAAUUCAAAUAAAGAGAUUGCCACAUUUU